GGGGAAUUUUGGACAAUGGGCGCAAGCCUGAUCCAGCCAUGCCGCGUGCAGGAUGAAGGCCUUCGGGUUGUAAACUGCUUUUGUACGGAACGAAAAGACUCCUUCUAAUAAAGGGGGUCCAUGACGGUACCGUAAGAAUAAGCACCGGCUAACUACGUGCCAGCAGCCGCGGUAAUACGUAGGGUGCGAGCGUUAAUCGGAAUUACUGGGCGUAAAGCGUGCGCAGGCGGUGAUGUAAGACAGAUGUGAAAUCCCCGGGCUCAACCUGGGAACUGCAUUUGUGACUGCAUCGCUGGAGUGCGGCAGAGGGGGAUGGAAUUCCGCGUGUAGCAGUGAAAUGCGUAGAUAUGCGGAGGAACACCGAUGGCGAAGGCAAUCCCCUGGGCCUGCACUGACGCUCAUGCACGAAAGCGUGGGGAGCAAAC
rnacentral:rRNA from 1 species